rnacentral:lncRNA from 10 species
UUUUUGCCGUCUGGUCAUCCUCGUCGGUCUUCUGCUUCUGGGUAUCGACAUCGUUAUCCUCAUCAUCUUCAGCUGCCCGCUUGCCCGUAGCUGACUCAGCUCCCUCAUCUUCAUCUCCAUCCUCUUCCUCACCAUCACCUUCUUCCUCCCCACCUUCUUCCUCUUCUUCAUCUACCUCGUUGUCAGCCUCCGGCUCCCCAUUUUCCUCAUUAGCAUUCCCGUGAGCAGGGGCGUCUCUUCCAUUUUCCGCCUCUUCCACAACUUCCUUCUUCUCCUUUAAGUCCUCGGUGGUGAUUUCGGAGCUGGUGUCUACGGCUGCGUCUGACAUGGUGGGGCACGCCGGUGACGCGAUGCAGGGGAUAAAAAAGAAAGCGACAGUUCAGGGACUCUGGCGAUAAAGCUGCCGGAGUCCGCGGCGGCGGAGGCGGCUGCGGCGAGCAAGGAGGCUGACGACGCACAAUGCAAAGACGGCUUUUCAGAGCAGCCAGUGGGGCAGGACAAUGUUUUUCAUCAAAUGUCCUUAGAUUUGGAGGAGGGUUCCCCAGUGUAUCCAGUGGUUGUCUUCCUCUUGAUUAAUAUUAAAGGAGGAGAAAAAGUGUGUAUUGGGGUCAGUGCAGAAAACAAAUCAUCCAAGCACACGAAGUGGAAUUUGCUAAUAGCAUUACUACUCACCCAGUGACUUCGGAGUCACAACCCAGGACACGGUUUUCCGCCCAUUUCUACAGACACAGUGAGAUUCUUCAUUCUUCUCUGUUGGAACAGCCAGGAAAGCGGAAGAGACCUCCAGCUGCACAACGACCUGUCCCCCACACCCAACCACAAGUUUAUGAAGGGAUGCAGAACAGCAUGAAUACUGCAAAAGAUGCUCUGUGCAUCAGGUAAAUGGACUGAGGGACAAUGUCCAUGAGUCCAGAGGCGCUGAGAAGCUGUGCAAAUAUGGUCAGCUCUAUCAGACACUUUGUAGUUUAGGUGUUUGAAACAAGAAAAUUGAAAAACUGACAGGAAUUAGGAUAAGUGUUUAGGAUUUAGCCUUGUGCCAACAGAAGAAAGAGGUGUUUAGUGAAAAACAUGAAACAAUCAGGUGGACAUAAUGUCUGAAUUUAGGAAUACACAGAUAUAGGAGCCUGAAUGAAUAUAACCUUACCACCUUGGGCCUGUCAGGUACCUUUUCUCUUAGUACCAGGUCUGCUCCAAAAUUAGGAUAUAUCAUAUGCAGUUCUGAUUUCCUGGGUUACCUAGGAGACCUGGUAAUGAAUGGUGACUAUCUUCUAUUCUCAUUCACUUCCAGAGAAGUGUCCUUACCCGAAUGCAGGUGGACAAGCAGUUAAACACAGUGGCUUUGAGUGUGAAGGCUUCUCCUCGCACCACAGAAUAAGGAAGGGUGAGUUCUAGGAAGAAAGGCUGGAAGGCUUGAAGAGACACGAUAGGAGAGAGGCCAAACCCUGUGGUUCCAGACAAGCAGAAUGCGCUGGCCUUCCACUCUGUGAUGGUUUCAGGGACCUGGUCACCAGCUCACUUAUACCUAAUGAGCUAGUGAAGGAGCAGAGAAGAGGAGUAUAAGCAAAUCUUUUUUUUUUUUUUUUAACACAAAGCAUGGCUGAUCCUAGAACAUGAUAACUCAGUAACCUAGUGUGGUAAAUGCUAAACUUGAUCUAAGGGUUGGUGCUCCUGGUGAGGUUUAAAGUUUUUUUUCUCCCUACCUCCCUUACUCCCUCCUUCCCUCCCUCCCUUUAUUUCUUCCUCUUUUCUUUCAUUCUUUCCUUCCUUUUGUUCUUUCUUUCAAUCUCCCUCCCCUCCCCUUCCCUUUCCUUUAUUUAAGAGGGCUGGUAGCAUCCUACUUUCUAUUAUCUUAGUUAUCAAUAGACUAAAUUAGAAAAAAAAUUAGCAUUGUUUAAUUAUGAGAUAAAUGAACUAUAAACCUAAAUAUUUACCAGAAAAGAGCAGAGCAGAACUAAAAGGAUCAGGAAUCCAGGAUAACAUCAGUCAUACAGCAGGAUUCAAACCCUCUCCUAAACUAAAUUCCAGGCAACACACAACUUACUCAACUACCACCAAAUCCCAGAUCCAGGUCUCAGGGAAGUACUUCCGGACUAUCUCUUUCACUUGCAAUAUCUGAGGUUCUUCUUCGAUCAUUGGGUACAUUAUUUCUACGGCUCCUGGGGGUACACCUCGCAGACCUGGUCCUGGAAGACAACACACAGGCCUCAGUGUGAACCUCAUUUUUAUCAUCAAUUUCUUAUUGCUGCCUUAUUUCUCAAAUGGAAUAAGGUCAUACGCUCAGGGAAUGUUUAUUAUUGGAACAAUUUAACCUACCAGCUUGUUAUUUUGUUCACUUUCCUAUAAAAAGGCUAAUCCUAUUUUUUCUUCAAAUAGAAUCUAGAGCUAAAUAUAUUUUUCUUUAUAAAUAAAAACAAAUGACCUGUACAUGUACCUCCUGAAUCUAAAAUAAAAGUUGAUUA